ensembl:lncRNA
UGAGCAUUGAGUUCCAGGAUUUCAGAGCUAGUUUACACAAGAAUAGCUCUCUAGCAAGCUAGUAGAACUGGGAGGGGCUAAACCAGCUGGCUAGAAAAACUGGUCCUCUUGCUGUAGUCAUGGUUUCUAUAGUGUGGAUAGCUCCCGCCAUUGGCAGGGCACAUCAGUAUCUGGGAACUGACUGUAUUGUGAUUGUCAUUAACCCUUGCAGAGAUUGGAGAAAAGAAAAAAAAGAAAAAAAGAAGAAGAAUAUCUUUAUCUCCAGAAGGAUAAAGUGCUUCUAUCAUUAACAACAGCAACAUAAUACCUAUAUGCGAUGGAACUCAGACCUCACAAGCGGCAGAACCACUGAGCUAAAUCCCUGGCCCUGUUAUCCUUUAAUCUUAAAGAGACAGGUGGGCUAAAAUGGACAAAGGGCUCUGUGCUGCACAACUCAGCAAUCUCCUGUGGUGAGCCCGGCUACUCAGAGCAGGAAGUCCAACACCAUUUACCAAGCUUCUUGUCCUACUCCUAGAGAACUCAGCAUGUUGUUCAAGAGGCUAUGUGAAAAAGGACACAUAAGAUGCCAGUUCCAAAGGUUGGAAAAAAUUUUAAAUAUUAAAACAUGACAGCAUUUUACUCCUGAAUAUUUCAGUAAGCACCCUGAAAAUGUUACAGUCACUCGAUCAGUUAUUGCAAAAUAGACUUGCAGGUCAACAUAAAGAAGGGGCAUAGAACACUUUCCCUUGGCGGAAUCAGUUGUCACAAAGGUGGUCCAGCUGCUCCUUGCGACUCCAGCACCAACCCAGGCCG